GACGAACGCUGGCGGCGUGCUUAACACAUGCAAGUCGAACGAUGAAGCUAGAGCUUGCUCUGGUGAAUUAGUGGCGAACGGGUGAGUAACACGUGAGUAACCUGCCCCGAACUCUGGGAUAACUGCUGGAAACGGUAGCUAAUACUGGAUACGACCUACGAAGGCAUCUUCUGUAGGUGGAAAGAAUUUCGGUUCGGGAUGGACUCGCGGCCUAUCCGCUUGUUGGUGAGGUAAUGGCUCACCAAGGCGACGACGGGUAGCCGGCCUGAGAGGCGGACCGGCCACACUGGGACUGAGACACGGCCCAGACUCCUACGGGGGGCAGCAGUGGGGAAUAUUGCACAAUGGGCGCAAGCCUGAUGCAGCAGCGCCGCGUGAGGGAUGACGGCCUUCGGGUUGUAAACCUCUUUUAGUAGGGAAGAAGCGAAAGUGACGGUACCUGCAGAAAAAGCACCGGCUAACUACGUGCCAGCAGCCGCCGUAA
rnacentral:rRNA from 1 species